ACUUCAAAAACACUUUCUAUCAGAAAUUUUAACUUAUUGGAGUAAGGAAAUAAUUGCUUGAUAUUUUGAUAAAUUCCUUGGUUUUUUUUUUACAAAAUUGUGUAGCUGAGAAUUAAUGGAGACUUAUGUGGGUGUAGUAAUAAUCUGUGUUAGCAUCCAUGAUCAACCAUCACCCCAAGCCUUCUCGAAUUAUUUUUUGACUUUCAGACAAUCGAACUAUGUCAUCUCUCAGGUGAUGUAACUGUCUUUCUUUUUUAUCCUGCUGACAUUGAAGUAUGCGAUCAGCUCAAUUUUUGACAAGUGCUUUGUAUAUAAAUGAUAAUUUAAUAGAACACAAUUGCUUGCUUUUAAAUAGAGGAACCACCCAUUGUUACUAUUUUUAGCUAUAUGUAUUUUGGUAGACCAGUAUAUAAAAAAGACAUUUUUGUGAGUUUCAAUGUUACUGAAUCAAGGAUUACAAUUAAAUCUUGUUUGUAGAAAGAAAAUAUUCUAACCCUAGUGAGGUCAGCUAAGGUCUUGGGAAUAUACUUGGAAUGAAGGGAAAUUUUAAAUGUUGGAUUAUUUUCCAGAUGUAGUUAAGACCUUGGAAACUUAUUUUCUCCCUUCCUCUCUUUCUUCCUCCCUUUCCCUCUCUCUCUUUCUUUUUCUUUCUUUCCCUCUUUCUCUCUUUCUCUCUUUCUUCUCAUUCAGAAUUUUCAGUGCCAUAGUUGGAAUUAAGGGAGCUUAGGGUCUGUUCUUCCAGAAAGCAUCAUAAAUAAAUGAGUUUUCUGGGAAAGUAGAAGCAGAUGGGUGGAAGUGAAUGGGAUAAAGAGGUGCACUUAUUGAUGUGCUAAGAAUUCAUCAUUAACCAUUAAUUUAGUUGGAAUUUAAUAAGAAUGUCCAUUAUUUAUACUUAUAGAUUUGACUGAUCUUGAUGCUGUAAAUCCCAUCUGGUUUGGGCACUUGUGUUGAUUUUGAAAUUAUAUUUGGGUUCUUUGAAAAGCUUCUUGCCCCAGGGAAAUCUCUUUCCUUCCUCCACCUCCAUCCCCGCCCCUGCAUCACCAUUACCCCACCACCACUACUUGUCAUCUGUUUACUUUGAGAGGGCUGGGCCUGGGAAUGGAAGACAGCACAUAAACUGAAACGGUUUUCAAAAACACAAACAAGGCUGUUGGAAGAAACAACUUCCUUUUUACACAGCACCCGUGGCAGACCACAAUCACUCCCUCAAUCAGUGGACUUACACUUGUAUAAACUCCCAGACAGGAAUAAACCUCAGCCUCUCAGUGACAGAGGGUUCACAAUUCUAACUUGUCCCAAAUCCACAGUACAAAUGUAGCUGAAUAACAACUAGUAAAUUACAACACUGGACUUAGAGCAGGGCUGAUAAUGUUAUUCUAAGAUAUUAUGUUUUUCACUGUGUCAAUUAAAGAUGCAUGGGUGUAGAAGCAAUCAAGAGAGGCCAGCUAGGCCCUUGGUAUAACUCGCUCUACUGGAGAAUAGUGUUCUGUAUCUCUAAGGGAUAAACAAAGACCUUAAACAAUUUUUUUUUUUUUCCUUUUUAAGGCCACGCCAGAGGCAUAUAGAAGACCCCAGGCUAGGGGCUGAAUCAAAACUGCAGCUGCCGGCCUACACCACAGCCACAGCAACACCUCAUCGGAGCCGCAUCUGUGACCUAUGCCACAGUCUGUGGCAAAGUUGGAUCCUUAACCCACUGAGCAAGGCCAGAGAUCAAACCCACAUCCUCAUGGAUGCUAGGUUCUUGACCGACUGAGCCAAAAUGGGAACUCCCGUAUUUCUCGAAAUUUUGCCUAAUGAUUUGCACAAUAGCUUCUCUAUUUAAUGUGAUAUCUAUAAAGUUUAUUUAUGAUAGCCUCUCUCAAGAAAUCAACUCUUUUUCGUUGUGUUAUGAGGUGGUAGUGAAUUGAUAAGACCAGGAAUUUCUAAGUUACAGACACUGGGGUUUAAAUCCUGACUUCCUAACUGUGUAAACUGCAGCAGAUUUCUUGAACUCUGUGACUUGGUUUUCUCAUCUAUAAAAGUGGAAUCAUCUAGUCCCUGCCUCACCGAGUUGUGGUGGAGAUUCAGUAAGUUACCAGGUCCAGACUAUGUGCAGCAGCAGCUCUAACAUGGUAGCACUGCCCUCUCUCAAUUGUAUAGAAAGCACGUUCUUUUUGAACAAACCAGGCAAUGGUUUCUGCUUCACUUAGGUUUAGGCACAGUUUCAGUGACUCAAAUUUGUGGAUUGUGUCAGGUUGAUCUUUGCCCUGUGAUUUGGAGGUUUGACUCCUAUAUUUCCUGCCAGGAUGGGUUAGUCACAUUAGGAGCAUCCUCCAUCAUGGUUUGUGGUUGCCCCGAUCUUUAAAUUUGGCCUGCCUCUAUUACAGUUCUUAUUCAUUGGUUAGGUCCAAGAAUAUUUUUAUAAGUUUUGGCCAUGUUAGCAAUUUAAGGGUGGAAUGGGGAAAGGAACCUUGGCAUGGUUAAUCUUGUUACCCUGAGAUACUGAAAAAAAUCGGAAACAGAUUGUCCACAGUGGCUCAGAUGAACAGGCAUUGGCAGUGGAUUCAUAUAUUUCUUCCCAAUUUGUCUGGAUCUCAUCUCAGAAAGUGGAUUUACUCUGCAGAGAUUUCAUCAUUAACUAUCUCUUCAGAUUUCAGCUCUGCCUCUUACAGCAUUGAAGCAGUUUUCCACAAACUAAGGAACAGAAAUUUAGAAUCACAUCUUUCAUCAAUUACUUCAACGGGAAAUAUCUUCCUCUCUUGCAGUCCCUUUGAAUCUGGAGCCAACUACCUUCUUCUAGUCAUUCAACAACACAUCUUGCCUGUUCAAGAUCUUCUCAUUUAAUCUCAUUUAGUUAUUUCAACUAAUGUUUAUUGAGCUCCUGCUAUGUACCAGCCACUGUUCUAGGGGCUCUGGAUCAUCAGUGAACAAAAUUGAUCAAAAAGAUGCCUGCCCUUGAGAAGCUUCUAUUCUAGUGAGGAAGACAAACAGUAAAUAAUAGAUACAACAAAUUUAAAAAUUAAAUUACAUGUGUUGGAAAGAAAUAAGUGCUAUGGAUGAAAAGAAAAAAGAAAGCAGGGUUGAAAGGAUCCAGGCAAUGGGUUGUGGAGACUUAGGGGGAAGUUUGCUAAAAAUAAUAAAUAGGGUGGUCAGGGUAGGCCUUUUGGAGAAGGUGAGAUCUGACAAAGCCCUGGGGGAGAUGAAGUGUUAGCUGGGCAGGUCCAGGGAGGAAUCUGUGAAGUCUGGCGGUUUCGAGGAAGAGUGGGAAGUCAGCAUGGCCAUUAGGAGAAGUUUCUUGUCCCCUCAGACCUCCCAUAACUAUUUGUAUGCACAUGAAGAAUAAAAAACUAGAUAAAGGAAAUUUUUUAAAAGUUAUGCCCAGCUCAAAAAAGUGAUCAAUUUUUUUUUUCCCUUUUGGUUAUGUUUAAUAGGUACUCUGAGUUAUUCUGUUCCAGAAUAAAAUCUUCUUGUAGGCAGACAAUAAUGAAUGGGGUCUAUCAAGUUCUCAUGAGCAAUAACAAGUCUGUUGGCAAUAAUCUCAAAUGUAACCCUGCAUUUUACCACCUAUUCAUAUUACAGUAUUAGGAUAAGACAUAUCCUAACUAGUAACUCAACAACUGCUAAACAAUGACAAUUUCAUAUGGUUUAACCUAUACUCCAAUGUGGUAACAUUAAAAUAACAUGAAAUGUUUCACUUUUGGCUAAAAAUAAAAUGAAUAAAUAUGGAUAACAGAAAAAAAUAACAAAGGGUAUUGAUUUUUUCAGAGAUAUACAUUGACAUUAUCAUAUUUUAAUGUGGUCUUUUGUCCCGGAGUUAUAUAAUUGUUAUAAAUAUUUUAGAAUUCGUGUGCUCUGCACCACUUUCAUAUACCUUCUCAUUUAAUUCCACAAUCUUUUGAUAGAGUUUUUUUUUUUUCAUUGCCACACUCGUGGCAUAUGGUAGUUCCCAGGCCAAGGAUUGAAUCCGAGCUGCAAUUGUGACUCGUGCUACAACUGUGGCAAAACCCCAUCCUUUAACCCAGUGUAUGGGGCUGGGGAUUGAACCUGUGCCUCUGCAGGGACCUGAGCCACUAUAGUUGGAUUCUUAACCCACUGCGUCACAGCAGGAACUCCUUGCUAAAAUUAUGCCUACUCCCAGUUCACAUAUAACAAACCUGAAAAUAAUAGAGAUUGAAUAGUUUACCUGAGAUCACAAAAUUGCUAGAAUGCUGAGUCAGGACUGGACUCUGUGUUUUUUGACUCUAAGUCCAGUGCUCAUCCCAUUGAUCAGAGUUACAAUCUUUUACCAUCAAUUAAUCAAGAUAUUGAGGGAUACAAGAAUUUUAAACCCAGGUCUUGCCUCCAAGAAGAUGAUAAUCCAGCUAGGGCAGCAUUUUCUAAAGUGAUCUCUGUGAAAUUCUAAUCUCUAUGUGUGAUAGUGAAUUUUAUGUAUUAACUUGCUUGCAUCUGUUCUGGGUACUUCUGUGAAGAUGUUUUUGGACUUUUUAAGUCUGUGGUCUUUGAGAUAAGCACAGUGCUCUUCAUAAUGUAGGGAGCCUCAUCCAAUCAGUUGAAGGACUGACUUGAAUAAAAGUCCUACUCAGAACAAAAGUUGCUGACAUCAUCUGCAACAUCAGCUCUUCAGACUUGAACCGUACAUUGGUUCCUUUCUGAGCCCCCGGAGUGUUGGCCAACCCUGCAAAUUUUGGACUCGCCAGCCUCCUUAUCUUAUAUAUAUUAUUUUUAUCUUAUCAGUAAUGUUUCUCUAGAGAAACCUAACAGACCUGGGAGGUGCUCCAAAAUGGCCUAUAGUUCUAGAAAACACUAAGCACUAUAAUGUCCUUUGAAAAUAUAUGCAGUCGGAGUUCCUGUCCUGGCUCAGUGGUUAACAAAUCUGACUAGGAACCAUGAGGUUGUGGGUUCGAUCCCUGACCUUGCUCAGUGGGUUAAGGAUCUGGCAUUGCCGUGAGCUGUGGUGUAGGUCGCAGAUGCGGCUUGGAUCCCGUGUUGCUGUGGCUCUGGUGUAGGCUAGUGGCUACAGCUCCGUUUAGACCCCAAGCCUGGGAACCUCCAUAUCUGAGGGAGGGGCCCUAGAAAUAGCAAA
rnacentral:lncRNA from 1 species